rnacentral:lncRNA from 1 species
UUUUCAUUAUUUUCCCAAUCCAGGUUUUGCUUUUUUAGUUUAAAUUCAAGCAAUUAAUGUGUAGUGUAUUAUCAGUUCGAGAGGUAGAGGUCAGUGACUCAUCAGUCUUAUAUCACACCCAGUGCUCAUUACAUCACAUGCCCUCUUUAGUGCCCAUCACCCAGUUACCCCAUCCUGCCACCCCACUCCCCUCCAGCGACCCUCAGUGUGUUUCCUAUGGUUAAGAAUCUCUUAUAGUUUGUCUUGUUACCUGAUUUCAUCUUGUUUUAUUUUUUCCUUCCUGGAAGCUAGUUUUAAAGAGAAGGGAGAUACUGCAAAACUUGCCAGGAAGCCUGCAGGGCAGAGACCAUUUCUUUUUCAUUUUGAGGCCCCCGUUAAUAACUUCCUCAUAUUUCUAUCCCAUGAGAUGUUAUGCCCAUAUAAAUAAACAGCAAUUUGUAUUAUUUUUAUCCUUUGUUACACAAGCGGCACUAUACUGUUUUGCACCCUUUUCUUAUCAUAAUACCUAUGAAAUCAUCCCAGACCAGUAUAUGAAAGCACCCUGGUUCUUUUUUAUGACUGCAUACUAUUCCAUCAUAUGGCUGCACUAUAACUGAUUAACCCCUGCUCCUGCUGAUGGGUAUUUAUGUUGUUUCUAACCUCCUGCUUGUACAAACAGCCCUGCAACGAACAGUCUUGCAAAUAUGCCCUUUCCUGUAGGUGCCUGGAUCUGCAGGAUAGAAGGAGAACUCUUGGGUCAAAGGAUGUGUGCAUUGAAAUUUCACAGCUACUGUUGAAUUGCCCUCCUUAGAGCUGAACCAAUUUACACAUACACUCCCUCCUCCAGCCACAUAUAGGAAUGAGCUCAUUUUGGCAGGGACGCCAAGGCUUACAUUUCCUCCCUGUCCCCAUGGUGCUCAUUCCAGGGGUAGACUCAGAAAGCUUUUGGGGAUCAUCAUUGCUCACAAUCACCUAGACUCUUGGGCGGGGGGCGGAGCUGGACGGGAGAGGAGGAUGAAGCCAGUAGCCAGCAAAGGGAGGGCUCAAGUUCAAAGGAUUUAAAAGAAUAGUGGCUUUGUGCAUCUUGAAGAGCCAAACUGCCCCUCCUACACAGACAUCCCACUGUGCUGAGAGACAACAGGUUUCCCCAUGAGGAAAGCAUAUUAACACCAUCUAAAGGAGGGACUCCCAGCAUGUGCUCCAAGAGGAGAUUAUAAGUGUAUUUGGGUUUCUAAAGUCCCAGCUGCACCCGUGUUAAGAAAGAACUGUUUUCUUGCUGUUAAUCCAUUCCUGGUGGAAAUGUUGCUUCAAAUUGAAUGACCCUUUUAUGCGCUGAAGUCAAAUGAUAUCUCAAAGAUAAAUCACUUAUUCCAGAAAACAUGAAACUUCAAUCACAGCGAUUGAUUAAGAUUUCACAGCAGCAGUUGCUGGACCAGGAAAGCCCCAAAAGUCCCCAUUCCCGUGGGCAGCCUUGGUCCUACCAGUAGAGCGAGCUCAGGCUCUAGCACAGGACCUGGAAUCCUACCCACUGGGAGAUUUCUCUCUGGUGAAGCACAGAGGAGGUGAGAGGGGAGAGAGCAGAGAUCGAAGUCCCCACAGGUGAGCCUGAGGGGCCCUGCCUGGCCAGAGGGGCAAGAACUAGAGGUGCCAUGCCCUCCACUCAGCCCCUCUUCCUCACCUCUAUCCAACCUCUACUAGGCCUUCUAGCUUUAGCUCAAGGGUCCCCUCUUCCAGGAGAUCACAGACCAGGAUUCAGCAGGCACCCCAAAGCAUGUUCCUAGAGCAUUUCUGACCUGAAGCGUAACCUUGUCUGUCUACCUGGCUUGGCAUCCAUGGGCGGUGAGCGCUCUGAGGUUUGGUCCCUACUAAGUGUUCAACACACGUUUGAUGAGUGAAUGAAACGGAGUCCCAGAAAUAGUCACAAUAGCUUCCUGCCUUGAUGAUGUCACCUAUUCAGGUGUUCAUGGUCCUAGUGGGGGCCGGUCAUUGUAAGUAGGCCUGCUCCUCAUAUUAGGCAAUCGGGUUGCAAUCGGGUUGCAACAGGGUUUCUUGAAUUGAAAUGCCACCCUGGCCCCAAAGGCCCAUGGUUUGAGGCACUCUUCUUAGUGGAAGUCUCACCUUGAGGAAAUGCCCACGCCUAAGAGGAGUCACACUGUCACGGAGCGGUCUUCUUUAGCUCCUCGGCCAGCCAGCAGUGGGGCAGUGAGUGGAACAGGUAGAUCCAGGACCCUGCUGUACGUUAUGUAAGAGGCAAGGUGAGGAACUUUUCUGAAAUCCUAUAAGCAGUAUGGAAUUAGAAACGGUUACAAUGAUAAGCCUUUGCUUGUGCCCAUGUCUUGCAGUCUACAGAGAGCUUCCUAUCUAGUACCCCCUGAUCUUCAAAGCAACCCUGAGACAAGUAAGGACAGUCCUACCCAAUUCACACACAGAAAACAGAGGUGCAGAUAGCUCAAGCCCUGAAUCACCCAGAUGACAGGGGCUGAGCUGACAGCUGUGUCCAGGUCUUCCCACUCCAAGUAGAGUGUUCUGUUUACCACAGCAAGAUGCUCCAGCAUUGCCUAAAACCACAGCUUCAAGCUGUGCAGAAAACCCUCUUCCUUCUUCAAUCUUUCCCUUUCCCCAGAUUUGUUGAUUGAUGAAUGAGCUUCCCCUGGCUCUUUAUACCAGCAGUGUUGGGGGGCCUAGCUGCAGCCUGGGCUCAGCCUCUGACCCACUCUGGGGUGGUAGGAGAGUCCCUGUCCCCCAGUUUCCUCCAAUUCUUCGUAUCUUUGAUGUUAAAA